GACGAACGCUGGCGGCGUGCCUAACACAUGCAAGUCGAGCGAAGUUAUUCCUUCGGGGAUAACUUAGCGGCGGACGGGUGAGUAACACGUGGGUAACCUGCCUUAUAGAGGGGGAUAGCCUUCCGAAAGGAAGAUUAAUACCGCAUAACAUCAGAUUCUCGCAUGGGGAUUUGAUUAAAGGAGCAAUCCGCUAUAAGAUGGACCCGCGGCGCAUUAGCUAGUUGGUGAGGUAACGGCUCACCAAGGCGACGAUGCGUAGCCGACCUGAGAGGGUGAUCGGCCACAUUGGGACUGAGACACGGCCCAGACUCCUACGGGAGGCAGCAGUGGGGAAUAUUGCACAAUGGGGGAAACCCUGAUGCAGCAACGCCGCGUGAGUGAUGAAGGCCUUCGGGUUGUAAAGCUCUGUCUUUGGGGACGAUAAUGACGGUACCCAAGGAGGAAGCCACGGCUAACUACGUGCCAGCCGCCGCAGUAAAAC
rnacentral:rRNA from 1 species